rnacentral:rRNA from 1 species
AACGAACGCUGGCGGCAGGCUUAACACAUGCAAGUCGAACGGAUCCUUCGGGAUUAGUGGCAGACGGGUGAGUAACGCGUGGGAACGUACCCUUUGCUACGGAAUAACUCAGGGAAACUUGAGCUAAUACCGUAUGUGCCCUACGGGGGAAAGAUUUAUCGGCAAAGGAUCGGCCCGCGUUGGAUUAGCCAGUUGGUGGGGUAAUGGCCUACCAAGGCGACGAUCCAUAGCUGGUCUGAGAGGAUGAUCAGCCACACUGGGACUGAGACACGGCCCAGACUCCUACGGGAGGCAGCAGUGGGGAAUAUUGGACAAUGGGCGCAAGCCUGAUCCAGCCAUGCCGCGUGAGUGAUGAAGGUCUUAGGAUUGUAAAGCUCUUUCACCGGUGAAGAUAAUGACGGUAGCCGGAGAAGAAGCCCCGGCUAACUUCGUG